UACGUAGGGUGCAAGCGUUAAUCGGAAUUACUGGGCGUAAAGCGUGCGCAGGCGGUUUUGUAAGUCUGUCGUGAAAUCCCCCGGGCUCAACCUGGGAAUUGCGAUGGAGACUGCAAGGCUAGAAUCUGGGCAGAGGGGGGUAGAAUUCCACGUGUAGCAGUGGAAAUGCGUAGAGAUGUGGAGGAACACCGAUGGCGAAGGCAGCCCCUGG
rnacentral:rRNA from 1 species